UUCACACCUAAAUACUUCAGCAUGUAGCUUCUCUUAAAUAAUCAUAAUACCAUUACCACAUCUAAAAUACCUGACAAUGGUUUUUUAAUGUUAUUUAAUAUUGAGUCCAUAUUUAAAUUUCUUUAGUUGAUCCCCAAAUGUCUUUUAUUUCUGUUUUUUCCAAUUAGGAACCAAUCAUAGUUCAUGCAUGUACUGUGUUUCUGUCUCUUUAAAGGCUUUAAAUCUAGAAUAAUUUCCCUGUCUUUGUCUGUUUCGUAUUGCUAUAAUAGGAUAUCUGUGACUGGAAGAUUUAUAAAGCAAAAUGGUUUAUUUGGCUUACAGUUUGGGAGGCUGAGAAGUCCAAGAGCGUCAUGCCAGCCCCUCCUUGCUUCUGGUGAGGCCUUGGUGCUGCAUCCUAACAGGGUGAAAAAGCAGAGGGCCAGUGAGAGUGUGUGGAUAAAGCAAAACAGGAGUCUAAUAAAACUACUCCUUUAAUCUUGACAUCAUCUGGAGCAUACAGUCAUCUAUACCAAAAAGAGAAACUUGGGCACUUCUCAGAGUAAGCGUUUCUGCACUGUUAAUGUGUUUUCGGCGGACACAACAUCUUUGUUUGUAUGUGGUGCUGAGAAUCGAACCCGGGCCACACGCAUGCCAGGUGAGCGCGCUACCACUCGAGCCACAUCCCCAGCCCUGUGAAAUUGCUAUUCUAGACUAGGUAUUCAGGAAAGGAAGUGAUAUCUGAACUGACACCCAAGGAUUCAGCCUUGGAAAGAUUGGACAUUGGAAAGCUGUUAACACAAGCUUUUCCUCAUGGUUUCUGUGUUUUUUUGCACAGAAAAGGAAACCAUACCCUUAUGCUCUUAUCACAUGACAUUAUUCUAUGUUAUUGCCAGG